UGGGGAAUAUUGCACAAUGGGCGAAAGCCUGAUGCAGCAACGCCGCGUGAGUGAUGAAGGCCUUCGGGUUGUAAAGCUCUGUCUUUUGGGACGAUAAUGACGGUACCAAAGGAGGAAGCCACGGCUAACUACGUGCCAGCAGCCGCGGUAAUACGUAGGUGGCAAGCGUUGUCCGGAUUUACUGGGCGUAAAGGAUGCGUAGGCGGAUUUUUAAGUGAGAUGUGAAAUACCCGGGCUUAACUUGGGUGCUGCAUUUCAAACUGGGAAUCUAGAGUGCGGGAGAGGAGAAUGGAAUUCCUAGUGUAGCGGUGAAAUGCGUAGAGAUUAGGAAGAACACCAGUGGCGAAGGCGAUUCUCUGGA
rnacentral:rRNA from 1 species